GAGGAUCAUGAACGGAGGAAAUGGAGCGUGUUCAAAGAACGUAAUAAUAAUAUAUGUACCCAUGGAAAAUGACAGAUUUCCAUUUGAUUCAUGGUGCAGUAGAAACGCUGUUAAUAAGAUACAUAGCAUGGACCAUGGCUCGUGUUUUGUUCUCCCCUCCGACUCCAUUCCCUAAGACCUUUUCCUCCCUCCCUGUCGUGCCUCUGCCUGCAUGCCUCUCGUGCUUUGUCUCUAAA
rnacentral:lncRNA from 1 species